GGGAGAAGUCUUAGUGGAUCGCAGUGAGGAUGCUGCUCUGCCACCUACAACGCCCUGACCGUACGCAAGUCGUCUACAAGCGAUUCGGUACGGCACAUCGGCAUUCGGGUGUUCUGUAUUUGGAAUGGGAGAGCCGGCACUAAAUUCCAUCAGUCGCAGCUCCCCCGGGCUAACCUUGCUUGGGUCCAUUCUGCGAGCCGACAGAGCGGCACCGCACGUCUCAAGUGUGACCGUCCCAACGCAGACCGUACGUCAAUAUCCCUUUGAGGGAGAAGUCUUAGUGGAUCGCAGUGAGGAUGCUGCUCUGCCACCUACAACGCCCUGACCGGUACGCAAGUCGUCUACAAGCGAUUGGGUACGGCACAUCGGCAUUCGGGUGUUCUGUAUUUGGAAUGGGAA